rnacentral:rRNA from 1 species
AUUGAACGCUGGCGGAAUGCUUUACACAUGCAAGUCGAGCGGCAGCGCGGUCUUCGGACUGGCGGCGAGCGGCGAACGGGUGAGUAAUACAUCGGAACAUGCCCAGUCGUGGGGGAUAACACUUCGAAAGAAGUGCUAAUACCGCAUACGUCCUGAGGGAGAAAGCGGGGGAUCGCAAGACCUCGCGCGAUUGGAGUGGCCGAUGUCAGAUUAGCUAGUUGGUGGGGUAAAGGCCUACCAAGGCAACGAUCUGUAGCUGGUCUGAGAGGAUGAUCAGCCACACUGGGACUGAGACACGGCCCAGACUCCUACGGGAGGCAGCAGUGGGGAAUUUUGGACAAUGGGGGCAACCCUGAUCCAGCCAUUCCGCGUGAGUGAAGAAGGCCUUCGGGUUGUAAAGCUCUUUCGGCAGGAACGAAACGGCGAGCUCUAACAUAGCUCGCUAAUGACGGUACCUGAAGAAGAAGCACCGGCUAACUACGUGCCAGCAGCCGCGGUAGUACGUAGGGUGCGAGCGUUAAUCGGAAUUACUGGGCGUAAAGCGUGCGCAGGCGGUUGUGUAAGACAGGUGUGAAAUCCCCGGGCUUAACCUGGGAACUGCGCUUGUGACUGCACGGCUAGAGUAUGGCAGAGGGAGGUGGAAUUCCACGUGUAGCAGUGAAAUGCGUAGAGAUGUGGAGGAACACCGAUGGCGAAGGCAGCCCCCUGGGCCAAUACUGACGCUCAUGCACGAAAGCGGUGGGGAGCAAACAGGAUUAGAUACCCUGUAG